AUUGAACGCUGGCGGCGUGCUUAACACAUGCAAGUCGAUCGGUAACGCGGGGGCAACCCUGGCGACGAGAGGCGGACGGGUGAGGAACGCUUGGGAAUCUGCCCUUCAGCGGGGGACAACCCGGGGAAACCCGGGCUAAUACCGCAUACGCUCCACGGAGGAAAGCCGGGGACCGCAAGGCCUGGCCCUGAAGGAGGAGCCCAAGUCGGAUUAGCUAGUUGGCGGGGUAACGGCCCACCAAGGCGACGAUCCGUAGCUGGUCUGAGAGGACGAUCAGCCACACCGGAACUGAGACACGGUCCGGACUCCUACGGGAGGCAGCAGUGGGGAAUAUUGGACAAUGGGGGAAACCCUGAUCCAGCGACGCCGCGUGGGUGAAGAAGGCCUGCGGGUUGUAAAGCCCUUUCGGUAGGGACGAAAGCUCUUGCCCUAACACGGCAGGAGGUUGACUUAACCUACAUAAGAAGCACCGGCUAACUCCGUGCCAGCAGCCGCAGUAACAC
rnacentral:rRNA from 1 species